rnacentral:rRNA from 1 species
CCUACGGGUGGCAGCAGUGGGGGAUAUUGCACAAUGGGGGGAACCCUGAUGCAGCGACGCCGCGUGGGUGAAGGAGCGUUUCGGCGCGUAAAGCCCUAUCGGCAGGGAAGAAGAUGACGGUACCUGACCAAGAAGCCCCGGCUAACUACGUGCCAGCAGCCGCGGUAAUACGUAGGGGGCAAGCGUUAUCCGGAUUUACUGGGUGUAAAGGGGGCGUAGACGGCAAUGUAAGACAGGAGUGAAAUCCCGGGGCCCAACCCCGGGACUGCGCUUGGAACUGGAAGGCUGGAGUACAGGAGAGGCAGGCGGAAUGCUUAGUGUAGCGGUGAAAUGCGUAGAGAUUAGGAGGAACACCAGUGGCGAAGGCGACCUGCUGGACUGUGACUGACGUUGAGGCCCGAAGGCGUGGGGAGCAAACAGGAUUAGAUACCCUUGUAGUC